UUCAGAAGCUCUGUGUGUCCGUCUCCAGCAGCCCACUUUUGGAGAAGAGCAAUGUCCCGAAGGUUACAAUGUCGAUACAAACACAGGAGUUGCUAACUAAUCCCGUGCGCAUUUCCAGACUCAACAGUCAGCCCCUAAGGAGCUGGUCCAAAGGGGCUCUCACACUGACAGUGUUCCCUGCGCUGGGGAAGUCUGCCUCGCCGCACGCCUCUCUCGGCCCUGGUAUUGGCUAGCUUCCGGAUUUUUGGCUCACCUGAUGGGCGCACAUAGUUGGAUGUUUUAAUGUGAGGCUGCGCAGCUUUUCUACUGCUGGCCAGCCAUUUGGAAAUGAAUCCUUCCUCCUGAGACAAU